rnacentral:rRNA from 1 species
AUUGAACGCUGGCGGCAUGCUUUACACAUGCAAGUCGAACGGCAGCGCGGGCUUCGGCCUGGCGGCGAGUGGCGAACGGGUGAGUAAUACAUCGGAACGUGCCCAGUAGUGGGGGAUAGCUCGGCGAAAGCCGGAUUAAUACCGCAUACGACCUGAGGGUGAAACCGGGGGAUCUUCGGACCUCGCGCUAUUGGAGCGGCCGAUGGCAGAUUAGCUAGUUGGUGGGGUAAAGGCCUACCAAGGCGACGAUCUGUAGCUGGUCUGAGAGGACGACCAGCCACACUGGGACUGAGACACGGCCCAGACUCCUACGGGAGGCAGCAGUGGGGAAUGUUGGACAAUGGGCGAAAGCCUGAUCCAGCAAUGCCGCGUGUGUGAUGAAGGCCUUCGGGUUGUAAAGCACUUUUGGCGGGAACGAAAAGGACUGUGCCAAUACCACGGUUCGAUGACGGUACCCGCAGAAUAAGCACCGGCUAACUACGUG